AGUGAACGCUGGCGGUAGGCCUAACACAUGCCAGUCGAACGGCAGCACAGUAAGAGCUUGCUCUUACGGGUGGCGAGUGGCGGACGGGUGAGGAAUACAUCGGAAUCUACUUUUUCGUGGGGGAUAACGCAGGGAAACUUACGCUAAUACCGCAUACGACCUACGGGUGAAAGCAGGGGAUCUUCGGACCUUGCGCGAUUGAAUGAGCCGAUGUCGGAUUAGCUAGUUGGCGGGGUAAAGGCCCACCAAGGCGACGAUCCGUAGCUGGUCUGAGAGGAUGAUCAGCCACACUGGAACUGAGACACGGUCCAGACUCCUACGGGAGGCAGCAGCGGGGAAUAUUGGACAAUGGGCGCAAGCCUGAUCCAGCCAUACCGCGUGGGUGAAGAAGGCCUUCGGGUUGUAAAGCCCUUUUGUUGGGAAAGAAAAGCAGCAGGUUAAUACCCCGCUGUUCUGACGGUACCCAAAGAAUAAGCACCGGCUAACUUCGU
rnacentral:rRNA from 1 species